UACAGAGGUCUCAAGCGUUUGUUCGGAUUCAUUGGGCGUAAAGGGUGCGUAGGCGGCGCGGUAAGUCGGGUGUGAAAUCUCGGGGCUUAACUCCGAAACUGCAUUCGAUACUGCCGUGCUUGAGGACUGGAGAGGAGACUGGAAUUUACGGUGUAGCGGUGAAAUGCGUAGAUAUCGUAAGGAAGACCAGUGGCGAAGGCGGGUCUCGUGGACAGUUCCUGACGCUGAGGCACGAAGGUCAGGGGAGCAAACGGG
rnacentral:rRNA from 1 species